UCGAGUUUUCUGCAGGUUUCAUAUAUGUCAACCGUGAAUAUCUCUCAACAUGAGUUUCUCACAUGCUCUUCAGCGAUUGAAGCAGGUGGAAUGCUGCACCUAGAGCCCAGCUUGUCUCAACAUUGUUCACCUUUUUGUGGGCAAGCUGGAGCCAAAAGAACCCCUAAAAAAAGAAUGAUUAUAUUGGGACAUCAAAACAUUUGGCUAGUACUGGACAAAACUUAGUCUAAAAAAAAAAGUUUAUGGGAAUACUUAAUUAAAACUUACUAAGUUUCAUGUCUUCUAAAUUUAAACAGUGCAUUUUUAUCUAACUGGAAAAAUUUUGAUUUCUUACAUUUUAGCAUGCAAAUAUAACAAAUUAUGCCAGUGUGAAAUUUUCCCUUAUUUGCAAAUAGGAAAAAUAUCCUCAGGAAUAGUUCUAUUAAACAUUUACUUGAGGCAUACAUGUCAGUGUCUGAAUACACCAGAAUGAUGUAUUUAAUUAUAUUGUUUUUAGUUGAUUACCACUUGGUGACAUUUUAAGUAAUUGUUUUUAAGUAUGCUUCUGAUGAAUGAAGCAGAAAUAUUCUGAAAA